AUGAACUCGCGUUCACGUUUGGCAGCUCCACGUCGACAUUCUUCCAGCUGCAUAUAGUGAACUGCACAGGACUGAGGGAAGAAAAGGUAGCCACCUUACGAUCAGAGCGCUGCAAGUCCGCAGACGGACACGAACCGCGGUGAAAAUAGGCGUUUGCACCCUGAAGCCACCCGUGGAUGAGCAGUGUCCACGGAUCGCUGUCUGCUUUUGCACUGUAUGAUUCUUCAGACGCAUUUGCCCCUCGUGUUGGAUUGCAGCUGCUCCCUUUGCGGCUAUACCUACACCAGGCUACUGCAGGUUAAAGGAGCACCCGGUCGUUGGGAGGAUAAGUCUCAGCACAAGGACAAACCUAUGAGGUGGCACUGUGGCUUUCCAAAUAAAGUUCUGUGAUACACUUAGACUCUCACUGCCUGCAGUCAGUGCAUUACAGAACUUUGUUUUGGGAGUUAAUGCUUUAACCUGUGGGAAAUAGAUCCUCACCCAUCUGGACAUUUUACACUUUACAGUAUGAUGUGAUAUUUCUGUUGGAAAAUGACUUGUUUUCUUAAAUAAAAAUUCUCAGACCUUUGA